AGAGAAUGAAAGUUCUGUUCCUGGUACUGGUUUUUGCCUUAGGACCGAUGAGCGGUUCUUCUUUGAAAUGCUUCAGGUGUUUCCCACCUAAGGCUAAUUUGUGUCCACUCAGGACAGAAAGCUGCAAUAAGAAAGAAAUCUGUAUGUCUUCUGAACUGAAUCUUCGGCCUGGUAUAAAGCCAAUUAAAAUGAAGCAGUGUGUUUCCACGGAAGACUGUCUCAAAAUGAAGCAAAAUCCCAGACACAAAGUCACAUGCUGUCAGACGGACUUUUGUAAUUAUUAAACCAACUCUACCUAUGCUUGUUGUUGGUUUUGGUCGUUGAUUUUACUCAUGUAUAGAGCAACAAUACCAUUAUACUCAGUUCACUUUGUCUGAGCCACUUUUAGUUGUAUCCUGUCCUAAAGACAAGAAUUUUUAAUAAAG